ensembl:lncRNA
ACAUUUGCUCAGCAGAAAGCAGUACUCAGCCUCUGCCUUCAACAGCCCAGGCAGAACUGUGUGCCAUUGUUGAUAUUCUGCUCCUGGGAAAGCAGUCAGAAAUAGGAGAUGUCCUGCAGGAACAUGGAAGACAUCAUCUGUCUUGGAGCUUGGUGAAAAUCAGCCUUACAAGUGAAGGCAGUGGAGCAAGUGGAGACACACCUGCUUGUACUGUGGUUAAAGAUGCUCUAAUAUCUUUUAAGGAUGUUCCUCACUGAUGCGGCUCUUCACUGACCUGAUUAUGCCAGCUCAUGAAUCACUGUGGUGUAUUUAUGUUUCUAAACCAUAUUAUGCUUUGCCUAAAAUCUUUGUGUAGUUGGCAAUUGGUAUUACUCAUCAUAUACAACAUGAAAGAGGGGAACACUUCCUCCUUUGGAAAAGCAGCAUAUCCUUAGCUUGUCUUCCAGAGAUCAGGGAAUGAAGAAACUUUGAAUUUCAACUUCAUUUUGGCCACACCCAGAAGAAAAAUGAGAUGACUCAAGGAGGCUUGGAGGCUCUGCUCACGAACGUUUGCCCCAAGGGUGCAACCAAGCUGCUCCUCUGCCACAGGGCCUGUUUUCACAGUGCUGCAGCAGCUGCACGUCCCCAUUGUAGCACAGCUGAUGCUUGGGCCUACCGAGCUCUUGAGCGGAUUUGUGCCCAGAGAAAGCAUCCCCAUGUCACUGUGGUGAUAGCCAUUGUGGAGGUGUGGUGAGACACAGCUCCAAGGACCUUCCACAGUCAGCAGUUUCUGUCCCUCUCAGUCCCAAUCUUGAUGCCAUUGGCAUGCUCCUAACCUGAGGACAGAGGCAAGACUAUCUCCCCAGUGAUGGGCAGCUGCUCCAGAAACUAAGGUAAGGGAACAAAAUGGGAUUUUUUGCCUCCUGCUGCUGGUUCUGCUGUGAAGCUACAGCAUAACACACAAAGUCACCCUGGGCAUUUCAGCCAUCUGCACAGUGGAAACCAAAUGUCUCUCCAGGAAGAGGCUGGUAUUUGCUGAUAACCAGCUCUGGACCACCUUUUUGACGAAGCUUUUUUUCUUCUAAUAAUUCCACAUGUAGGAUGAAGUGGCUACAGACAAGUUGGCCAGAUGAGGAUGCAGUUAGUUUUCACCUUGUUUCUCCUCAGGGACUAUCAAAAUACGUUACAGAGAGUUUUAAAUACCUGAUCCCAAACUCACCUUUUUAGGUUUCCUAAGGCCUGAGGCUCCAGGCUUUAUGGCUGCAGGCCGCCAUGCGUAGUUCUGUGCCUCAGGACAAGUUAUUACUGAGCACUCCUGUGUCUUUGAAGACACAAAGGCUUGCCAUGCACAAGGAUGUGGCUCCUUCCUCGUGGAGGAGGUGAAGAAUGCCUCCAGGUAAACCUGGAGUAUAAUCCCUGUGCCCAUGUAAGAUUAAAAUGUUCUGUACAAUGCCUUUGUUGGCAGCAGGAGACAGAGGAAUCCCUAUGUACAUGUGCUGUGUAUUUAGCGAUAUAUAACCAACAGGGGGCAUUAAGUUUAUGCUGAUUAAAUGUGUAUUUCUACUUCGAGCAGAGGGGAAUCUCUACCUCGCUUGAUUGAAAACAGCAAGACUGGAAUCCUUUAUCCUGCAAAUAAGUAGGAUUAGGCCCUGUUUUUUCAGAAGAUUUAUAAUUAGGAAAUGUAUAAGUCUCUUCUAUUUCCUUUGUCUAGCUUGUGUUUAUCUUGAGAUGAAAAUGAAUGAGAUUGAUAUAAUUAAGAUCCAGAUGAUUUCUGUGUGACAUGUAGCUCAAAAACCACUUGAAAAAUCUAAGCGUUUCUGGUGCAAAUUAUUUGUAUCAAUGAUUUCCAGCUUUCUAACCAGGAAUUAAAGUUAGGCGGCAAUUAUAUUUUUCUGACAGGAAUCAGAUGAAGCAGUAGAAUUAGCUGCUGCUCUUCAUUGUGGCAGAAAACUUUGCUCAAGUUAUUGGAUUACUAAAUGCAGAGGACUGUAGAAAGGAGCUACAGUGUGGAUGUGAAUUGUGGUUUCUGGAAAUGAAAGUAGUAUUUAUUACAGAGAUAAUUAUGAUGGGUACAACCACUCAUGUACGUGGGACUCCUGGCAUACAUUCUGAGGGAGAUGUGGUUUCUGAUGUUUAUGGCACCAAUUAAAGAAGAAGCUUCUCCCUCUUCACGUUUUAGAAACUGCAGCCUUUUCUGUGCUGCUGCCACACUCACAUAGUUACAUACACCUUUAAGUGAAGGGCUUUCUACUGUCUGUGGUUAAAUCGAGCUGGAUUUGAAAAUAAAUGUUAAUGCUGAGGAGAAUUGCUUUCA